rnacentral:lncRNA from 1 species
UCCCUAGCUGCAAUUAAGUUCCAACAUAGCCCAAUUUGAAAGAGAUUGAGAAACCACAGUUCUCAUUAAGAAUAUUCAUGAGUUUGCACCUUGAAAAGCCAGCAAUCACAUGAUGUGCCAGAAUGGACAAGAUCAUUUGAGAAGAGAAAAAAAAAAAAAGAUGCAAUUUAAAAUAAGUUACCAGAGAAGAUUAUUUUACCUCGGUCUGGCCAAUUGAAACACUGUGUUUGCCAUUACACAGUGGGUGUUUUUGGGAUGUGACUGAAGUCAGCCUGAGUCCAAUGAAAAUUCUGAACUUCUUCUGGAAUUAUGGUGAAGGACAAACUCUUUUUGGGUUGUAAACCUGGCAAUGUGAGGAAGAAUCUUAUUGUAGUGGGAGAAUGUGCCUGAGGAUGCAGCCAACACAAUAAAAAGCAGAGUCCAGUAGAUGAAGAGCAAUAGUGUUCUGAUGAUGUCACUUAAAGCACCAAGAUCCAGCCAUGCCUGAAGUUGAUAUACCCUUUUCAGUUAUUAAAAAAAUCAACAAAACCCCUUUUUAAAAGUAAGCUAGUUUAAACUGGAUUUCUUUCACUUAUGUCCAAAAGAGUUCUAAUUCAUACAAAGCCCUCAUUUUAUAGGCUUAGGAAACUGACACCAAGGACGAUGGC